rnacentral:tRNA from 1 species
GCCUUCGUGAUCUAAUGGUAGCACACUCGACGCGUAUUCGAGAGGUCCAGGUUCGAAUCCCGGCAAGGGCG